CCGAACUCACGCCUGUUGAAAAAGUCGGAGAUGAGGUGUGGAUAGGAGUGAAAGGCUAAUCAAGGCGGGUGAUAGCUGGUUCUCCUCGAAAGCUAUUGAGGUAGCGCCUCGCGUCUAACUCAGGGGGGUAGAGCACUGUUACGGCUAGGGGGGACAUAAGUCCUUACCAAACCGUUGCAAACUCCGAAUACCCUGAAGUUCAAUCGCGGGAGACACACGGUGGGAGCUAAAUUUCAUCGUGAAGAGGGAAACAACCCAGACCGCCAGCUAAGGUCCCUAAAAUUGGCUAAGUGGGAAACGAAGUGGGAAGGCUAUAACAGUCAGGAUGUUGGCUUAGAAGCAGCCAUCCUUUAAAGAAAGCGUAAUAGCUCACUGGUCGAGUCGGUCUGCGCGGAAGAUGUAACGGGGCUAAGCGAUGUACCGAAGCUGCGGGUGCAUAGCAAUAUGCGCGGUAGAGGAGCGUUCCGUAAGCCUGCGAAGGUGACUCGUAAGGGUUGCUGGAGGUAUCGGAAGUGCGAAUGCUGACAUGAGUAACGAUAAUGCAGGUGAAAAACCUGCACGCCGUAAGCCCAAGGUUUCCUGCGCAACGAUUUUCGGCGC
rnacentral:rRNA from 1 species